GUGGGUUGGAAUCCCCUUUUCUUGCUGGCAGAGCUGUUCUGCGGGUCCGGGCAGGUGGCAGCGACCGGCAGGGCAGGGCGGCGAAUGCCAGGGGGCAGCGGAGCCUGGAGCCGGCAGCAGCUUGUGACCGUUUCCCCUUCUUUCCCCCUCUUUCCCCCACAGCGUUUCCUCAGGGAGCUCAAAAACUCCACCGACUGCUGGUUGGGGCUGCGCAGGCAGGACGGGCGCCUGGUGUGGGUGGAYGGCACCGUCUACGACGGAACGUUCCCGGUUCACGGCCAAGGAGCCUGCGCCUACAUGARUGAYGCCAUCGCCAGUUCCAGCUGCUCCCAGCUCAGGCCUUAUAUCUGCAGCGUGGCGCUGGCUCCGCUCUGACCGCGGUGGAAACGCCGCCUUCGGAGCAGGCAGGCUGCCCCGGCACGGCUGCCCUCCGCUACCUCCCUUCAUGUGCCUGCCGUGCUGGAGCUGGAGCAGCCCUUAGGGAUCAGCACGGAAAGCCCAUGAGGACAACGAGUAGCUUUGCACCCGUGGACGUGGGUGUUUUACAAGACUGAAAAAAAUCCAUGACACUCAGGGAUUCUGUAAAACAGUGCUUCCGUCGCUUCCUCUCCGCUUCGGCAACGCCGCUGGGCCCCGUUCAUCCCUCCUCUCCGCCGUCUGUCCGUCCGUCCCUUCGCCGGGAGCCGCCUCCUAGGUCAGUGCCGGCAGGAGCUGAGGACGGGGAUGGUGCGGGAGGAAGGUGGAGGGGGGACGCAAGCGCGGGAAUCCCCGAGGUGCCCCGAUCCCCGCUGCGAGCUGCCCGAAAGCCGCUUGGGUUUUCGUUUUUCCCGGGCGGCGCAGGGUCCCCCGGCGUUGGAGCGCGGCAAAUCCCUCGUUUUCCUCGCCGGACGUGGCGGCCGUCGGAGGUCGCCCUUUUCCCUGCAGUUUUGUUCUGCUUUAACACC
rnacentral:lncRNA from 1 species